AAGCAAAGAUAAAAACGCAACGCACGCUUUCUCGGCGUGCCAGAGCCGGUAGGUAGCCCGGCCGUCCUGUCCAUCCUGACAGGGUAAGUAACCCUCCCUCCUUGGGUUGUCCAUUCUUUGCC
rnacentral:ncRNA from 1 species